GUGCUCACUUCAGCAGCGCAUAUACUAAAAUUGGAAUGAUAACAGGAAGAUUAGCACGACACCUACACAAGUUGACACACAAAUUCAUGAAGCGAUCCAUAUUAAA
ensembl:snRNA U6 U6 spliceosomal RNA